GACGAACGCUGGCGGCGUGCCUAAUACAUGCAAGUAGAACGCUGAAGAGAGGAGCUUGCUCUUCUUGGAUGAGUUGCGAACGGGUGAGUAACGCGUAGGUAACCUUCCUUGUAGCGGGGGAUAACUAUUGGAAACGAUAGCUAAUACAGCCUAACAAUGUAUGACACAUGUCAUUUAUUUGAAAGGGGCAAUUGCUCCACUACAAGAUGGACCUGCGUUGUAUUAGCUAGUAGGUGAGGUAAUGGCUCACCUAGGCGACGAUAAAUAGCCGACCUGGAAGGGUGAUCGGCCACACGGGGAAUGAGAAACGGCCCAGACUCCUACGGGAGGCAGCAGUAGGGAAUCUUCGGCAAUGGGGGCAACCCUGACCGAGCAACGCCGCGUGAGUGAAGAAGGUUUUCGGAUCGUAAAGCUCUGUUGUAAGUCAAGAACGGGUGUGAGAGUGGAAAGUUCACACUGUGACGGUAGCUUACCAGAAAGGGACGGCUAACUACGUG
rnacentral:rRNA from 1 species